rnacentral:rRNA from 1 species
GACGAACGCUGGCGGCGUGCCUAACACAUGCAAGUCGAACGGAGUGUUUAUUUAUAAACACUUAGUGGCGAACGGGUGAGUAACGCGUAGACAACCUACCCUCUAGAUGGGGACAACACCGCGAAAGUGGUGCUAAUACCGAAUGUUGUAAUGUUGUUGCAUAAUGAUAUUACUAAAGGUGGCCUCUAUAUAUAAGCUACCGCUAGAAGAUGGGUCUGCGUCUGAUUAGCUAGUUGGUGAGAUAACAGCUCACCAAGGCAAUGAUCAGUAGCCGGUCUGAGAGGAUGAACGGCCACACUGGGACUGAGACACGGCCCAGAAUCCUACGGGAGGCAGCAGUGGGGAAUCUUCCGAAAUGGACGAAAGUCUGACGGAGCAACGCCGCGUGAGUGAAGAAGGUUUUCGGAUCGUAAAGCUCUGUCUUCAAGGACGAAUGUAGAUAUUGUGAAUAAUGAUAUUUAAUGACGGUACUUGAGGAGGAAGCCACGGCUAACUACGUGCCAGCAGCCGCCGUAA